GGGGCUGUAGCUCAGCAGCAGAGUGCUUGCCUAGUAUGCAUGAGGCACUGGGUUCAAUCCUCAGUACCCCCA
rnacentral:tRNA from 1 species